rnacentral:sRNA from 1 species
AAGGGUAGUAAAAAAAA